UCUAGAUAUAACUCUGUACAACCAACUAAACCUGGAUAACACUGAUUUAUGUGUCUUGAGUUAUAUUAUUUAUGUACCAUUAUAUGCAUUUAUUUCAGGUAUAUAAUUUCUUAUGAUAUAUGUAACAUUAUUGCCUUGAUUCCUGGCAUUCUAUAUACAGAGCAGUGAGGAGAGAGUUUCCAGAUAAGUUGAUAAUUCUCCUUAUCAGCUUGUGUUUACGCCCGGGUCAGCAACUUCAUAAUCCCCCAAACAGUAGGCCCUAUGUCCUUGUGCAGCUGUAACAUAAACAGUGACCGUGUGGUUUCCCCCAUUCACCCCUCUGUUAGGAAAAAGGGUAAAAACAAGCAUCUGUACUGUAAGAUACUCAUUAGAUUAAACUCAGAACACUGUCCCUAAACGGUUGAUAUAGAGAGCUGCUUUAGCUGAAUGUAACAAGGAAUUGCUGGAAUCAAAGUAGGUACUUUUAAUCACUUUGUUGAAUUGUAAUCAUGUAUUUUAUGUGUGUUUGGUGACAUAUAUGUUGGAUGCCGCUAUACAGUUAUGUGAUGUUAGUGAAGAUUUGAUGUACUGAGCUAAUGGUGGUAAAGUUGACUGUUAUAUUGGGAUGAAUCACUUUCGAAGUAUAGUUGUAUAGGUUUAUGUCAUUGGGUUAUAUAUCAUGAGGCUGCAUGAGGCGAUAUUGAUAAAGGUUGAGCGUCUCUCAUGAAUAUGUAUUGUAGAAGUCAUUUGAGUUUAUUGAUAUAUCUUGUGUAUUUUUAUUUUGUAUUCUUGUAUGAUUUGUCAAUCCAUCCGAAUCAUUAUGAUGGUACAUGCUCUUGUUUGGGUUAUGUUCAUAGGUGAUGAAUCUACUAGUUUAACGCCUACUUUGUAAGCUUCGAAAACAGGACCCUGACUGUUGCAGUUCCAUAUUCAAGGACCAUACAGAUGCAGAGUAGGCUACCUCAAUGCUGUGUUGGUUUUCUUUGAUCGUACUAUAUUUAUCAUUGUUUUGUACUCAUAUACUUUUGAGUCUUGUGCUAGUUUCGGAAUAGUUAAUAAAAGAACUUUUUGUUCAGUUGAACGGUAAAA